GAUGAACGCUGGCGGCGUGCCUAAUACAUGCAAGUCGAGCGAACAGACGAGGAGUUUGCUCCUCUGACGUUAGCGGCGGACGGGUGAGUAACACGUGGAUAACCUACCUAUAAGACUGGGAUAACUUCGGGAAACCGGAUCUAAUACCGGAUAAUAUAUUGAACCGCAUGGUUCAUUAGUGAAAGACCGUUUUGCUGUCACUUAUAGAUGGAUCCGCGCCGCAUUAGCUAGUUGGUAAGGUAACGGCUUACCAAGGCGACGAUGCGUAGCCGACCUGAGAGGGUGAUCGGCCACACUGGAACUGAGACACGGUCCAGACUCCUACGGGAGGCAGCAGUAGGGAAUCUUCCGCAAUGGGCGAAAGCCUGACGGAGCAACGCCGCGUGAGUGAUGAAGGUCUUCGGAUCGUAAAACUCUGUUAUUAGGGAAGAACAAAUGUGUAAGUAACUAUGCACGUCUUGACGGUACCUAAUCAGAAAGCCACGGCUAACUACGUG
rnacentral:rRNA from 1 species